rnacentral:misc_RNA from 1 species
GAUGAAGAACGCAGCGAAAUGCGAUACGUAGUGUGAAUUGCAGAAUUCAGUGAAUCAUCGAAUCUUUGAACGCACAUUGCGCCCUCUGGUAUUCCGGGGGGCAUGCCUGUCCGAGCGUCAUUUGCAACCCUCAAGCCCGGCUUGUGUGAUGGGUGCCGUCCCCUACGGGACGCGCCCCGAAGGCAAUGGCGGCGUCGCGGUUAUCCGAUCAGCCAAAGUGUAUGGGGCUUUGUCACUCACUUUACGGCCCGGACCGGCGCCAGUCCGAAUCAAUCUUUUUUCUAAAGUUGACCUCGGAUCAGGUAGGGAUACCCGCUGAACUUAAGCAUAUCAAUAAGCGGAGGA